rnacentral:lncRNA from 1 species
AUUCAAUAAAAUGCAGUGUGGUUGGUCAAUUAUGUCAUUAAUAUACAUUAAUACACAGAGAUUAACCAAUGGCUAUAGAUAUACGAUGGCGUUGGAAAAACCCGCCUUACUUCCGAUUUUUGCCGAACUUCACCGAUUCUUAUUUUUUCCUCUCUAAGCAAAAUUAAAAAAAUCCGCGUUGUCUCGUUCGUCUCGCUCUGGAUCGGCAACAACUCUUGGAAAAGAAGCUCGUUCGCGAGGCCUACCUCGACCUUUCGGAAAUCAAAGUCAUAUUUAAAGUGUUUUUUUCGCUUAGUAUUAUUAUUUUUAAAUCAGUUAAAACUAGUUAUUUUUCUUACUUUUUUAAGAAGAUGUCGAAGUUACUGUUACUUUACAACAAAACAAUUUUUUUUACGGGACUACGCGAGAAUCCUCGGUCUCAAGUGGAAACCAUGCCGGCGUGAUCAGUGUUAUUUUAAGUAAGUCAACUGGGAAAAUCCGACAAAAGCCUGCGGUGUUUAAUAUAAUAACGGGACGAGAUUGGAAGGCCACGUCUAAAACGAAGUGACAGCUUGGCUUUGGCGGAGGCACGGAGAGCUUUUGGAGGAGAUUCACACACGUGACGUUCCAUUGUGUGAAGGCUUUUGGAGCCUCUUUCUUUUCCGG